CAAAAUGUGCAGUGGCUUUAAAUAUUUUAGAAAAGUUGAUGACCUUUGGUUCAAAUCCUAUUUUGUGUUGUUUUUCUCUAUUUUUAUAUUCAGGUGUUCACAAACAACAAAAAGUAGCGUAAACAACAAAAAAAGCAAUGUACUGGGCUAUGCGAGAAAGCAAUAAACAAACAUUGGGCAGCGUGUGAGAACAAUAGGCAGGUAUAGGACUGUGUGAAAGUAGAUAUAAUAGACAGAACAAAGUGCCAAUAUUAACGCUGUUCGGGCAUCGUUUAUUGUUGAAGAAUGCACAAGACUUGGUUUUGGUGAUGUUCUUUCCUCUGAGUCUGCCGUUUUUCUUAGUAAUACUAUGCCCAUUCAGGAUGCAAAUAUAUAUGGAUGUAGUUGGUCUAUAUGCUAUCAAAGUGUUUCAUGACUCCUGUUAAAGUCAGACCUACCAAUUAACUUGGUGAGGCUAGCUGCUAACAGGGGGGCUAGUGGUAUUGAUGGGUUACUUAGCACAGCCAUUGGUUUUUCUGUAGGAUGCAACAAAAAGGUGUUGUGUGUAAUUGGAGAUAUUUCUUUAUUGCAUGAGACAAACGGUCUGACAAUUUUCAACCAGCGG